rnacentral:rRNA from 1 species
AGGGAAUUUUCGGCAAUGGGGGAAACCCUGACCGAGCAACGCCGCGUGAAUGACGAAGUACUUCGGUAUGUAAAGUUCUUUUAUCAGGGAAGAAUGUCAUGUGGAAAAGCAUGAGUGACGGUACCUGAUGAAUAAGCCCCGGCUAACUAUGUGCCAGCAGCCGCGGUAAUACAUAGGGGGCAAGCGUUAUCCGGAAUUAUUGGGCGUAAAGGGUGCGUAGGCGGUCAUUUAAGUCUUUGGUGUAAGUGCAGUGCUCAACGCUGUGAUGCUAAAGAAACUGGGUGACUUGAGUGUGGUAGAGGCAAGUGGAAUUCCAUGUGUAGCGGUAAAAUGCGUAAAUAUAUGGAGGAACACCAGUGGCGAAGGCGGCUUGCUGGGCCACAACUGACGCUGAGGCACGAAAGCGUGGGGAGCAAAC